GAUGAACGCUGGCGGCGUGCCUAAUACAUGCAAGUCGAGCGAACGGACGAGAAGCUUGCUUCUCUGAUGUUAGCGGCGGACGGGUGAGUAACACGUGGAUAACCUACCUAUAAGACUGGGAUAACUUCGGGAAACCGGAGCUAAUACCGGAUAAUAUUUUGAACCGCAUGGUUCAAAAGUGAAAGACGGUCUUGCUGUCACUUAUAGAUGGAUCCGCGCUGCAUUAGCUAGUUGGUAGGGUAACGGCUUACCAAGGCAACGAUGCAUAGCCGACCUGAGAGGGUGAUCGGCCACACUGGAACUGAGACACGGUCCAGACUCCUACGGGAGGCAGCAGCAGGGAAUCUUCCGCAAUGGGCGAAAGCCUGACGGAGCAACGCCGCGUGAGUGAUGAAGGUCUUCGGAUCGUAAAACUCUGUUAUUAGGGAAGAACAUAUGUGUAAGUAACUGUGCACAUCUUGACGGUACCUAAUCAGAAAGCCACGGCUAACUACGUG
rnacentral:rRNA from 1 species